UUGUGCCGGUUCGAAAUUUUAA
rnacentral:misc_RNA from 1 species